AAAAAUAAAUGGUAUAUGUUGUAGAAAAAAAGGAAAUAAGAAUGCUUAACCUCAAGUCAUAUAUAUUUAUUUAUUCAGGCGAGAGGAAGAAUUCCUAGAGCGAAUGGAUUUAUAUAAACGGCAAGAGAAAACUAUUCAGCACUUGACGGAUGCGAACUCUAGGAAGGAUGAAAUCAUUCAGCACUUGAUGAAUGAGAAGUCUAGAAAUAAAGAAAAAAAUGAUGACUUGGAGAAGAAAUCGAAG